rnacentral:tRNA from 1 species
GCGGGCGUGGUCUAGUGGUAUGACGUCUCCUUCCCAAGGAGAAGAUCGCGAGUUCGACUCUCGUCGCCCGCU